GGUAUUUUGACCGUGCAAAGGUAGCAUAAUAAUUAGUUUUUUAAUUGGAAGCUGGAAUGAAUGGUUGGACGAGAAAAUGACUGUCUCUAUGUUAUUUUUAGUUGAAUUUAAUUUUUUAGUUAAAAAGCUAAAAUGUUUUUAAAAGACGAGAAGACCCUUUAGAGUUUAAUUAAUGUUGGAUAUAAAUGAGUUGGUAUUUUUUAAGUAUGUUAAAUGUUAAUUUGGUUGGGGUGAUUGUAAGAUUUAAUAAACUCUUGUAAUAAAAUCAAUGAUUUUUGAACAUGUUAUCUAGAUUUUCUAAAUUUAAAAUAAAUUACCUAAGG
rnacentral:rRNA from 1 species